AACAAAAUUAAAUCCCCUAGGAAAUACAUUUCAGUUCAAAAUAUUCCAUAUGAUAUAGAAUUUAGGCGGAAGAGAUAAAAGAAUGAAAAAGACAAAGACAGAUGAGGGGAAGAGAGAACAAAUAAGAAAGAGGAUGGUUUAAGGGAAAGAGGAGAAAACAGAGAAAGGUGAAAUAAUAUGUCGGAACUCCAUAUCCGAACCAUGGCUUAUCAGGUAUCCAUGUCCGAUAAAUUUUUCUCGCAUUUUCAUAUCCGAUAAAGAAAUUUAUUUAUUUUUAAAUAUUUUUAUUAAAUCUAAUAAAUCUAUACAAAUUAUUUUUUAACAAUUAAAAAUUAUUUAAUUAAAUUAUAGAUUCAUACAUAUUGAUAAAUAUAUUUAAAAAUAAUUAUAAAUAAAUAUGAUUAAAUAUUUAUUUAACAGACUACAUCAAAUAUAAAUGGGGUGCAGAGUUUCUUAAUAGAUGAAAUAAAAUGAUGGUGCAGAUUUAGUAACAGGAGAAAUAGAGUUUUUGAAAUGAAAUGAGAUCCAAUCAAUAUUUCAUUGAAGGCAUAGAAAUCCUCAACAAUACAAAAUUAAUUACGGAUACAACUUCAUUAAUUAAGGGUAACAACUUUAUUAAGGAUAUUUUCGAAAAUUGGAU
rnacentral:lncRNA from 1 species